rnacentral:lncRNA from 1 species
AUGGUCUCCAGCUCUUUGGACUUUGAUGGUGAGCUCUUUCUCCUGAUGCAGCAUCUCACUCCUUUCCAUUCUGCAGUUCACUCUCAAGGCCUUACUGACUUGAACACUGGCUGUCUAGAAACAGAGAGGCGGGCAGCGGCAAAUAGGAACAGAGGCGGAGCGUCUUCCUCCAUCAGGAGCUGCACCUCGGAAGCGUCCUUAGAUGUGGCUUGGAAUUGGGAUCCUUCAGUUCCCCUCAGAUGAUCCUGACAGGCUGAACAAAGACGCUUGCUCUCUGGUGUGAUGUUUGACAAGGGAAUCUUCCUUCAUUUUCUCCUCUGAUGAGCCUCUCUACCAGAUAAACCGCAGCAGGAACCAAACAUUUAAGAAAAAUGUAAAGACAUUGUUUUGUCCAUCACUUAACAUUUUUAUCAACAAGUUGGGAGAUAGCGACAUUUUCAUGAAUGCAUCUGUGAAUGGCCCGAAGUCUCACCGCCCCAGGAUGACUUUGGGGAAGGAAGACCCAAGCAGCCCACUGUCACUUGCUGUCCCACCUGCCUCAGGCCUCCUGUCCUUCUCUCCCUUCUGACCUGCAAACUAACCUUGAGGACUCAUGUCAACCGUCACUGCAUUGGAAGCCCUCUGUGAUGGUUAAUAUCGAGUGUCAACUUGAUGGGAUUGGAGGAUGCAAAGUAUUGUUCCUGGGUGUGUCUGUGAGGGCGUGGCCAAAGGAGAUUAACAUUUGAGUCAGUGGGCUGAGAGAGGCAGAUCCACCCUCAGUCGGGGUGAGCACCAUCUAAUCAGCUGCCAACACGGCUAGAAUUAAGCAGGCAGAAGAACGUGGAAGGACUAGACUUGCUGAGUCUUCCGGCCUUCACUCCCUUCCAUGGUCUUUCUCCCGUGCUGGAUGCUUCCUGCCCUCGAACGUCAGACUCCAAGUUCUUCAGCUUUUGGAUUCUUGGACCUACACCAUUGGUUCACCAGGGGCUCUCAGGCCUUCAGCCACAGACUAAAAGCUGUGCUGUCAGCUUCCCUACUUUUGAGAUUUUGGGACUGUGGCUGACUUCCUUGCUCGUCAGUUUGUAAACAGCUUGUUGUGGGACUUCACCUUGUGUUCAUGUCAGUCAAUACUCCUUAAUAAACUCCCCUGCAGUUUAUUAAGAUAUAUAUAU